rnacentral:tRNA from 2 species
GGGCCUGUAGUUCAAAGGAAAGAAUCCUCCGUGCCGGAAACGGACGGAGGGGGUUGUGGGUUCAAGUCCCGCCAGGUCCA